CCUACGGGAGGCAGCAGUGGGGAAUAUUUCGCAAUGGGCGAAAGCCUGACGCAGCGACGCCGCGUGAGGGAUGAAGGUCUUCGGAUCGUAAACCUCUGUCAGCAGGGAAGAACGGUCACUGUGCUAAUCAGCAGUGCAUUGACGGUACCUGCAAAGGAAGCACCGGCUAACUCCGUGCCAGCAGCCGCGGUAAUACGGAGGGUGCGAGCGUUACUCGGAAUUACUGGGCGUAAAGCGCUCGUAGGCGGUAUGUCAAGUCAAGGGUGAAAUCCCCGCGCUCAACGGGGGAACUGCCUUUGAAACUGGGAAACUGGAGUGCGGGAGAGGAGAGUGGAAUUCCAGGUGUAGGAGUGAAAUCCGUAGAUAUCUGGAGGAACACCAGUGGCGAAGGCGACUAUCUGGCACAUAACUGACGCUGAGGAGCGAAAGCGUGGGUAGCAAACAGGAUUAGAUACCCCUGUAGUC
rnacentral:rRNA from 1 species